UAAAACAAAUUUCGAUUUAUUAUUAAUAAUGGAAUUCGAUUUUGAAGCAUCCGAAGGCAAGCAAAAAUAUCAAUGGACGAAAAAGGAACAAGCUGACUUCAUGGCAAACGACAAAGUAGAGUGUCAUCUGCUAAGCGUCCUCCCGCCACAAGAAGUCAACCGGAUCGGAGCUUACGGAUCCUCCAAGGAGCUUUGGGAAAACUUCCUAGAACUUCAUGAAGAAAUCUCAGAGGCGAAACUUGCGAGACGGGACUUACUUCGUAACCAUAUCAGUAACCUUCGAUUUGAAGAAGGCGAAAUGAUUGCACACCUUCACUUGAGGAUUAAGGAGCUCAUCACCAGACUUUCGAAUCUCGGAGAAAUGAUGUAGAUAAAGAUAAAGGAAAAGCUAAAGUGAUAUAAAGGAAGGCGGCAAGGAGGCGUCGAUGGUGUGUGUGGUGGCUGAUAUGGAAGCUUGGGACCUUGCUAAGAAAUUUCUGCGAGUUAAUUUAAUUAGUUUUCUUCUUAAAUAAUUAGGAGAAUUUAGAGAAAUACAGAUUCUUGCUCCUUCUGUUUUGCUGAUUAGAGGUGUCCUUAAUGGUAUUUGGCGUUGUUUCGGUUGUUCAUUUGUUAUGGUUGGAUGUUUGUUUGUUAUGGCUUGGAUGUUUCCUUCCUUACCGUCGGACUGUCCAGAUUAAAUAAUGCUGGGAUUGUUUUGUUUUCGAGAAUUUUGUUAGUCACUGCCAUGUAUGCUA